rnacentral:rRNA from 1 species
UAGGGAAUCUUCCGCAAUGGGCGAAAGCCUGACGGAGCAACGCCGCGCGAGUGAUGAAGGUCUUCGGAUCGUAAAACUCUGUUAUUAGGGAAGAACAAAUGCGUAAGUAACUAUGCACGUCUUGACGGUACCUAAUCAGAAAGCCACGGCUAACUACGUGCCAGCAGCCGCGGUAAUUCGUAGGUGGCAAGCGUUAUCCGGCAUUAUUGGGCGUAAAGCGCGCGUAGGCGGUUUUUUAAGUCUGAUGUGAAAGCCCACGGCUCAACCGUGGAGGGUCAUUGGAAACUGGAAAACUUGGUUGCAGAAGAGGAAAGUGGAAUUCCAUGUGUCUCUGUGAAAUGCGCAGAGAUAUGGAGGAACACCAGUUGCGAAGGCGACUUUCUGGUCUGUAACUGACGCUGAUGUGCGCAAGCGUGGGGAUCAAACAGG